GAAGGCAUCUUCAUAAAGAAGGGGGCUUGCAAACACCGGGAUGUUGUCUUCA
rnacentral:tRNA from 1 species